GCCGGGUGUGGUGGCGCAUGCCUGUAAUCCCAGCAAUUUGGGAGGCUGAGGCAGGAGGAUUGCAAGUUCAAGGCCAGCCUCAGGUAUUUAGUGAGGCCCUAAGCAACUUAGUGAGACCCUAUCUCAA
rnacentral:sRNA from 1 species